rnacentral:lncRNA from 1 species
CAUGCUUUAUGAAAGGGGCAGCCACACAGUCAAACCCAGGCGAAGCUUGCGCGUUCAUCUUACUGAUCUGCUGAGCAACCAACCCCUGAAAUGUGGUAAGGUCAGGGGCAUCUACAACAUCUAGCUCCACGCCCACUCCUUCUCUCUGCUGCCGUAAUAAGGCAGCAACAUCAUGUCCCCUCCCAAUUGGAACUGCCUGAUCUCUUCCUACAUCUGGUCC